UGCAGUCGAACGGUGAAGCCCUUCGGGGUGGAUCAGUGGCGAACGGGUGAGUAACACGUGGGCAAUCUGCCCUGCACUCUGGGACAAGCCCUGGAAACGGGGUCUAAUACCGGAUAUGACCUUCCUCUGCAUGGGGGUUGGUGGAAAGCUCCGGCGGUGCAGGAUGAGCCCGCGGCCUAUCAGCUUGUUGGUGGGGUAAUGGCCUACCAAGGCGACGACGGGUAGCCGGCCUGAGAGGGCGACCGGCCACACUGGGACUGAGACACGGCCCAGACUCCUACGGGAGGCAGCAGUGGGGAAUAUUGCACAAUGGGCGCAAGCCUGAUGCAGCGACGCCGCGUGAGGGAUGACGGCCUUCGGGUUGUAAACCUCUUUCAGCAGGGAAGAAGCGCAAGUGACGGUACCUGCAGAAGAAGCACCGGCUAACUACGUGCCAGCAGCCGCGGUAAUACGUAGGGUGCGAGCGUUGUCCGGAAUUAUUGGGCGUAAAGAGCUCGUAGGCGGCCUGUCGCGUCGGAUGUGAAAGCCCGGGGCUUAACCCCGGGUCUGCAUUCGAUACGGGCAGGCUAGAGUGUGGUAGGGGAGAUCGGAAUUCCUGGUGUAGCGGUGAAAUGCGCAGAUAUCA
rnacentral:rRNA from 2 species